AAAAAAACAAAAAUUGGUCAUCAACAUAUAAUUAUCUUUUCGUUAUUUAACUAAAAGUAAUUUCAGAGUUAAAUAUGAUUGAUAUGAAAUUGUGGAAAAAUAAAUAACUUUUAGAGACUGGGUUAAGAUAAAGUGUGAAUGAGGUCUGAACACACAAAAAAAUUGUGUGAUGAAUACACAGUUAGUAAAUAAAUCUUCUAAACCUCUAAAAAUUAACAUACCAACUGUCGGCUCGAUGGUGGAACCUACAGACGAACCGGGGAGUUACAAUUUGGUCUUAGAACAUUUCCUGUUGUGUUAGUUUCUUAUUGCUCUCCAUAGUCUUUAUAGGAAAGUUUCUUGAGAACACUAUUACUCAUCAUUUUGAGCAGGGGCGGAUCCAGCGACGUUAUAAGUAUGGGGCACACAUUAUAAAUAAUAUUUACAUUAAGUAUAACUAGGCAAAACCCGCGCUACGCCGCGGAAUAUUAUAACACUAACUGAUUUUUAUAAGUCAUGUUAUUUCAUGCUUAAACGGAACUGACUUCGAAUUAAACUGUUAAUUUUUCCCAAUAAAAAUGAAAACAACACAGUUCGAAUCAUCAGACUUAAAAGCAAGAUGGCUUGUCCAACUUGUAGGGGUGUUCAAUCCGGAUAUCGGUUCGGUUUCGGUUCGGUUUUUUUCGGUUUUCGGUAUUUCGGUUAGUAAAAUAUGACUACCAUUCAAAAUCCAUAUUUACUUCGGUUCGGUUCGGUUUAUAUACCGUCGGUUUUCGGUUUAUUCGGUUUUAUACCAAAAAACAUAAUUAUUUUGUUUGAGAUCAUAUUAUAUGAAUUUUAGAGUCAUAUUCUCAACACAAUCAUUUAUUAAAAAUAUAUUACAUGUUCAAAUAAAUGAACAAAAAAGUAAAAAUGCUUCUACCAUCAAAUAAAAUAAUCAAAUCGAUAACUAAAAUCAAAAUUUGAAAUUUUGAAAAUAAAAAUAUGAAACAAAACAGAAACAUGAAAGAAAAGUUUUUUCACUCUUCUAUAUUUAGUGUUCAUUAAAGUCAUGCUUUUUCAAUUGAAAAUUUUCCAUUAAUUAUUGUCCAUCAAAUUUAUAAUCUUCAUAUUAAUUUAGUAAAGACUAAAAUAAAGCAAAAAUAUCAAAAAAAGACUUAGAAAAUAAGAUGUCUGAAUUGCGAUGUAUUGUUAUUUAGUUAUAUUUCAAAUGUUUUACAAAUUAAGGUUUUUUAUUACUAUAAAAUUAUGGUAAUAGUUAUUAACACAAAUUUAACUUAUGUAACAAAUAGAUUUUCAUGUAUUGUUAUAAAAUAGAUACAUAUUUACAUGUUUCUACUUUUAAUCGGUUUUGUUCGGUUUAUUCGGUUUAAUCGGUUAUAUACCAAACCAUAUCCAAAUCCUACGGUUUUUAUAAAAUUAUAUCCAUUCGGUUUAUAUGGUAUAUACCAAAACCAAACCAUAUUGUCUAUUUCGGUUCGGUUCGGUUCGGUACGGUUCGGUUUUACCAUAUUGAACAGCCCUACCAACUUGCUAAGUAAUCGCAACUUCCUCUCUAUCUUUAGAAAGCAUCUUUCCAAACAUAAUAUAAUCCGUGCUUUAUCCCCUUCGUCUACUUGGCUUUAACUUCAUUUAAUAAUAUAAACUACAUCUUCAAAAAACUCCUAGCAUUAGUGUUUCAAAUGCACUUGGCAGAAGAUUUAUCGGCACUUCUUCUCCUAUCAUCCUCCUACCCUGAAGUGAAGCUUAGCUGAAGUGUUUCUGCUGUAAACAUAAGUGUCUCUUCCUUAAACGAUAUAGAAAAUUUAUAAAUUUUAAAAUGUAAAAACAUUAACAUAUUUUAUAAAUAUUAAUGCACUUGUUUUGACUAUUCGUACACCAUCUUAUACCAGCAAUCAGAUAUGGUCAUCACACAAAUAUCCCUAGCCAAAUCAUCAGUCUGAUUUUUGAUCUUUUUGAAUAAAUAGACAUAAUUUUUUUGCAAAUUUGCAUCAUCUUGAAAUGCAUCAGUGUUUGGUUAGUCCAUUAAUAAUAACAGUGUAUAUAUGACCAAACACUAAAGUUUCACAACGCAUUUAAAAAAAAAACAUAACUGAAAUAGUGAAAAGUUUAACUACUUUACUCAGAGACCUAAAGUAUUUUUUUUUGUAAUCCUCAGAGACCUAACGUUUUUGCCAUAUUCAUUUCAAACAUAAGACAAUAAAAAGAAAGCAGAGCUCGAAAUGUAAUUUGUCUUUGGAGAAGAGAAUUCUUCGAUACCUCCUUAACAUUUUCACAUGUGUCACUGCAUCUUUUCUCUGCAGAUUCUAGAGAAAAAUAAAGUUUCCUUCUCAUGGACAUGGGUCCCGACCACUUGUUGGAACAAUCUAACAUAAACCUUCAGCUUCUUAAUAAUAUAUGUUAUUUGCCCAAUCGUACCCUGUCGCCAAGAAAACAGUAAUAUAAAGAAAAAAGAACAUUUUUAAGUUAAACGGCAAGACAGUUUCUUUGCAAUCAUCUGUAAUAAAAUCUUCCACAAGUUUUGGCCAUCAUCAUCCCAAUCUUACUGCUCGAUGAAGAUAAUUUGAAUGUUUUGUUCGUUGAUCAUUUUUCACCAUGAUGGAUUCACUUCAUUUUAAUCAUCUAUUUUAGAGUAAUUUAAAUCUUUGCAAAAAAGCUUGGUCAUCUUUGUCUUAAACUGAGUCAUUCAUCUUGAUUUUCUUUGACCUUGACUCGAGCCAAUCAUCAUCUCAUUUUUCUUCAUUUUACUCCCGUAUAUCCAUUAGUCUUCUUCUCCAGCUACUCUGACCAAGUCCCCACAACCAACGUUUUACAUAUUAUUCUCUUGUCUAACUCCAAAAGCAUGCAUCAAACAAUUUUCUCUCUGAUAUCACUCCUCCUUUAUAUUCUCAAGUCCUUCGAGGUCCUAGACAUCUUAACAAAUGGUUCCAUGUUAUUAUUUGCUGUUUCCUAUUUGUUCCAUUUAUUUCAUGUUUCCUUAAAAUACCAAAAGAGCAUGAUAUGGAUUGAUGUAUUUUAAGCCUCGUGUUAAUUAAACAUACUCGUGUUGGUAAAUAGACUGUCAUUUUGUUAAGGUUUACACGUGCAUACAGUACCUAAGAACAAUACCUAAGAAUGGUUCAACAACAUAAAACAAAUCAUACACUUAACCAAAUAUCAGUAAAUCAUUAAUAAACUCAUAAUCACCAAAACAAUCAAACACACAAAAGAAACCUAAAAAUAUUACUUACAUACUAAAGAAAAAGACGCAAGAAAAUCACCACAACUCUGAUCUCUUACACCUGAAUGUUUUGAAAUAUUGACAUUCAUGUGUAUACCUAUGAAUGUAAAUGACUAAAAUAUAUUAAUAUACGACCAAUUUAAAAAUAGACAUCACUAACCUUAUUGUAACUCCCGUGAUUUAUGAAUGCAUUUUACAAAAAAAAAUCGAUUUUUCAUGAUAUUUGGAAAAACGCAUGUGAGCAGAUUGCUAUAUCAGGUUGCCGUGCUCACAUUAUAAUCUUCUCUGUUUUGUAUGAUGGGAUGGUUUGGUAGGAAGGCAGAGUGAUGAAUGUUCCUGUGUAGCCAUUUUGUUCCUUUAUCUACAAUCUUCAUCAAAACAAAAGCUUGGUAGGAGAGAAGGAGAAGCAAGCACUACUCUUUAUAACCUGUGAAACUAUGUAACUGGAAAAUUAGAGAACUUCAGGUAUGGACUUAAAGCGAUGACAGUACUAUAAAAAUAAAGAUGGCCUUAUGUAAAAGCCAUCACAAACUAAUAAAGAGUUUAAAAGAACGUGGAAGGUCGUUGUUUGGCCUGAUAGAAAGGAAAAGUUCAAUGAGCCCAAGUCAAAUACACAAAUGUAAAUGUUUGUCUCUCUGAAAUCGAUAUUGACGGGUCUUAAAUUCUCUAGGAAUUCUUUUUUUUUUUUUGAUCAAAGUUUUUCUCUAGGAAUUCAUGUGAAUUGUAUUUCAUUGGUUUAUAUACUAUUUUACUGAACAACGAAUCUAUAUACAUUGUUUAGAAGGAAGAGAAGACAUUAAAGAAUUGAUCAAAGAAAAUUUAGUGUACGUCAAACCAAUACUAUUUCAUUCUAAUCAUUUGUUUGGCAAAUAACAACUACCCAACAAUGAGAACCUAUUAAGAAACAAUAUUAUUUCCUAAAAACAAAUUUGCAGAGAAGCAUCAACGUACGAUGGCGUCAAACCAAUACAAAUCCAAACAAUAAUAUUAAUUAGCAGCAAACAGAACCAUCAUAUUCAUAUUGAGAGAGACAUGCAAUGAGUAAUAAUAUUAGGUUCGUUGGUUUCUGGCAUAGGCUUCUUUCGCCGGAAAGGGUUGUUAACGGAGAAGAGACUUGAAAAGCCAGAACUUUCGCCGGCCUCAGCCACCUCACCGGAGAAGAGAGUGGUGAAGAUCCCUGAUUGGGUCUGAAGUUCUUCAGCCUUUGCCUUCUUUGUUGUCUUCUUCCCCAUCCUCGUUCGAUUUCAAAGCGAAAGAGGAAGAGAGAGAUCGAUCAAAUCGAAAGAGGAAAAGAGAGAGCAAAGAACCCAUCUGAUCAAAUCUUUGACAAGUGAAAGUGAUGAUAUAAACGAAGAAGAAAAGGUAAAGCACAAACAAAAGUGACAUGGAGAGACAAAAUGUUUCAAUUGGUUUUCACAGUUUUUUCAUUUAUUGACAUGGCAGUCUCAUAAGCAUUUUAAAAUCUGAUGUGUCAUGCUUUGGAGAGAACCUUGUGCCAUUAUUGUGUUGAUUAGAUAAAUUGUAAGCUAAUUACUGAAGAAAUUACAAAAUUUAGUAUGGGGCAAGUGCCACACCUAAGUGCUCUCUACGUCCGUCCCUGAUUUUGAGUAAUGACACUUUUUAAGAUUACAUUUACACAUACAUGGUUUACCUAGAGAAUGGAACAAAAUGUGUAUAUGACUAUUAGUCUGUAUAUACCUAUGACAAAACACAAGCAAGCACAUACAUUAUUCAUAUGCCGUAAGUAUGCAUGCCUUAGCAUUACCUUUUUCAUAGAACCCCAAUAUACCAAACGCGGUUACCC
rnacentral:lncRNA from 1 species